AGAGUGUUUUUAAAAAUUUCUCCCAAGAAAAUUAUACUACUGCUUGUUCAUAAUGCCCUGCCAAUUUUAAUUAAUUCAACAUCCACAGGGACAUUGUUUAGGUUGUGUAUCUUUCAAAAACUGGACUAUUAGUUUAAAUUGGUAGAAAGGAGAACUAGAUUGCAUGAUUGUAGCAAAUAUCGACUUAGGUUUUUAAAGAUAGCAGUCUCUUCUUUUUAACUUCUGAAGUCCUGGCUUAUCAAGAGAAAAAUAAAUUUUUGCUGUGUACCAAAAUAGAAUGCUUUCCAGAUCCUAUUUCUGAAUAGCUGAAUAAUGCGUCUGCAGCUUUUUACGUCACUGCGCGUGCAACAGCUGUUAGGUCAUUCCUGCAACUCCAGCAUUUGUUCAUAUUUUCAGAUGUUCAACAUUUUUAUGAGCAGAUGUAAGAUUUUAAGUUUCAUUUGGAGAAAACAUGCCUUUCCUACUUGCAAAAUAUAAUUUCUGCUUCAUUUGUUAGGAAAUGAAAAUAUCAGAUACAUUUUUUAAUGUACUUAUGCUGGAUUUAACUUCUCAGCUAAACUGCGUGGAGAACGGUACAAACGACAGUGAAAACAGAGAGCUCCUUGAGCCUGUAGGACAAGAUUUACUGAUUGCAUUGUUUGGAAGGCUCAUGUUAGUAAGACUUUGGGCUGUUUAUUUGUACAUCGUGUACGUUCUGAGGACAUCCAAGCCAUUCUUGUUGUCAUCAUCAGAUUUGAAAAGUUGUAUAACUGAAGGUAUUAGAUACGAGGUUCUUCAUUUUAGAGUCUCUUAGUACAGUUCCAGGCCAUGGAAGUUACUCAGCAUCAGGUAGUGUUGCUGUUAUCAUCAUUAUUUCCCUCUUGCACUCUUCCUCCAGAUGAAAUUAUUUUGAACACUGGAGUUUUGCAUAACUGUAUGAGACACUGGGAAGUUCAAGCCAUGUAAGACCGUAUCUGUCAUUGUUGUGCAGAUUUUUCUUGUCUGUCUGUCUUAUAUCUGCAAUACACAGAGGCAACUGGAAAUAAACUAAGACUGAGGUUCCUUCUCCAUACCCGUAUCAUAUAUCAUUGGUUAGGCUUCAUCCCCUAGUCAUACAAUAGAAUAUUUUAAAAAUGGAGAUUUAAGAAUUAUCACCCAUCAUUUCACCAUCCUAAAAAUGGUCAUGAUUAUCUUUUUGGUGCAGUUUCUUCUAAACUUUUCUUUAGCAUGCUUUUUUUUUUUUAAUUUUCAAAACAUUAUAAUCAUAGUCUAUACCACACAAUUUUGGUCUUACAUUUUUUCACAUACAGCAAUGCACUGGCUGAUUAACAGAGUGCUGGGACUGGAUUUUCCAAAGCAAGCCAUAUUAAUAAACAAGCCAAGGCCAAGGACAGCCCUUGAGAUUCCCAAAGUCAGGGAAUGAAAGAGAGGGUUUUAAGGUCAUUGAAGAUUGUGAGGAGCUUUUGUUACAAAAGAUAGCAAGUUCUAUCUUUCUGUGCAGCAAUACAUUUUUGGUGCUCAGUAAAUAUUCUCUUGUGAUUGAUUAGUGUUGAGUCAUUUUGGCGGAGCCACUAAGGAGAAGGUAACCAUGGCUGGCUAUCUGUGUUAUACCAGAUCUGUUUAAACAGGUCUGAACUAUAAGACACAGUGUGAUUAUGGUGGUGCUCUGGGAGACUGGCCAGAGGCCACUGCGUGCUGUGAUAAGCAUCACGCUGUAAAGAUAAAUGGUUAAAAAAUCUCAGGAGUCUCUGUAUCUUCAUGCAUACACACAUAUUCUCUAAUGGGAAAGAACUCCUCCAGAAAGUCUGUACAAAACAGGCACAAAAAUAAAUGAACCUGGA
rnacentral:lncRNA from 1 species